rnacentral:rRNA from 1 species
UACAGAGGGUGCGAGCGUUAAUCGGAAUUACUGGGCGUAAAGCGCGCGUAGGCGGCUUCGCAAGUCGGGUGUGAAAUCCCCAGGCUUAACCUGGGAACUGCAUUCGAGACUGCAUUGCUAGAGUAUGGGAGAGGGAAGUGGAAUUUCCGGUGUAGCGGUGAAAUGCGUAGAUAUCGGAAGGAACAUCAGUGGCGAAAGCGGCUCUCUGGGACGGUACUGACGCUGAGACGCGAAAGCGUGGGGAGCAAACAGG